UCCACCAAGUGAAUGGACUUGCAAGUCAACUUGCUAAGGAAUAACUCCACACAAGUCAACAAGACUAUGCCAUUCUCCUAUCCUAAGUGCACUCGAGUUCGGGUAUAGAACUCAUCUCACAAAGAUCACAAAGCAUACAAGGAAUUAAUAUUCAAGAAAUUCAAUCAUUACAUACAAUAUAGUAAUCCCAAAUGCAUAAAAAUAUGUCACAAAAUA
rnacentral:lncRNA from 1 species